AGUUUUUAAAGGGCCGCGGUAAUCUGACCGUGCAAAGGUAGCAUAAUCGUUAGUUUUUUAAUUGGAAUCUUGUAUGAAUGGUUGAACAAGAGAAUGUCUGUCUCUGAAUAUUUUUCUUGAAUUUAACUUUUAAGUGAAAAGGCUUAAAUGUUUUAAAAAGACGAUAAGACCCUGUAAAGCAUUUUGUUGGGGCGACAAUGAUAAAAUGUUUAACUGUUUAUAUUGUAAGACAAAUAUAAGUGUAAUGAUCCUUAGUUUAAGAUUAAAAGUUUAAGUUACUUCAGGGAUAACAGCGUUAUUUUUUUUGAGAGUUCAUAUCGAAAGAAGAUUUUGCGACCUCGAUGUUGAAUUAAAAUUUCUAUAUAAUUGCAGAAGUUAUAUUAGAGGGUCUGUUCGACCUUUAAAUUUUU
rnacentral:rRNA from 1 species